rnacentral:misc_RNA from 1 species
AAGUCGUAACAAGGUUGCCGUAGGUGAACCUGCGGCAGGAUCAUUAUGAAGUACGAAGGCGCUAGCCUGAGUACGUAUGUGUGAAGGCGAUAGCCUGAAUACAUUGUUGAGUCAAGGGUGUUAACCCGAGACUCUACAUUCAUCCCAGUGUGAAUUACUUUCAUUGAUUAACUAUCAUACACUACUAAGACCACAUCAUAUAAACAUAAUCUAUACAACUUUCAACAAUGGAUCUCUUGGUUCUC